rnacentral:rRNA from 1 species
AGGAAGGCUCUCAACUCUCUGAAGAUGCUAAUUUGUAGGGCAAUUUGGAACGAAAGGAAUGCAAUGAUCUUUCAAAACAAGGCCUCCUUACCCACUCACGUAUUUUCAUCCAUCAAGGCGGAGGCGCAGCUAUGGGUGAGAGCAGGGGCUACGUAUCUAGGGAACCUUAUUCCGGGAGAGUAA